UUUUUCUGUGAUGAUGUGAAGUGUGACGACAAAGAAUGAGCUUGAUUUCAAAUAAAAGGAGGAGCAGGCUGUUCCUGAAGGAUUGCACCCUGUGGAUCAUUAUGAACUCUCACAAACUACUGAGACCCAAGAUUAUCAUGUUUACAGUAUAUCAACCACUUUAGAAAGCAAUGCAAUGAAAGGAAAAAUAUCAGGGAAAAUAAAAAUGUUUUCAGUAACAAGAAGAAUUCUGAUAAUUGAGAAGAAGGGCAUAAAGACAGUACAUAUUCCAACAAACAACCUUCA